rnacentral:sRNA from 1 species
AAACGCUGUUUUAAUUUAUUGACUAGAUCAUAACCCGUGCUAUACAGCACGGGCAUUAAUAUUUUGUAUAAAUUAAAUUGUAUACUUUGUUUGAAUUACAUAAGAAAUAGUAUAGUAUAAAAGUGAUGCCAUAAUAUUUUUCAAUGUUUUACUAUUUACAUAUAAUACUGCAUUGGAUUGACUUUGUUUAAAAAUGUUAUUGUUAUAAUAAAUACAACAUAUGUAGUUUUAAGUAAAUGUGUAAAAUUUGUAUAGAAGUUAUUUUGGUAAGAAACAUGUUUCCUUUGUAUUAGAGGAUCUAAUUUUUGGCCUAACUUAGAAUUAGUCUUUGUAUAGUAUUUUGGUUAUAUUUGUGGACUUAAUUGGGGCCUAUAUUAGAUUAUCUUUAAUAGGGCUGACGAAAAAACGGACCCGAUAACCAACCCAAUACCCGAACCAAAAAAUCGGGUUAGGGCGGGUUAAAAUUUUAGGAAAUUUCCUUAUUGGGUAGAGUUUUACUAAACCCGUGGAUAUCCGAUUGGACCGGAAAUUAUCCGUUAUCUAAAAAGAGUAUUCAAAAACCCAAACAUUAAUUUAAUAUCCAAAAUAUUAAUUAUAUGAUAUUAUUUUAUUUGAUUUUAAAUAUAUAGUAAACUGCGAGUUGUAUAUGUUUUCUUGAUAUUAUUUAUAUUGUUUAGUGUUUAAAAUUAUACACUUGUAUUUUGAUUGUUAAUUUUAGAGUUUCACCUGUAGUAUACCAUCUUAUAUUAAUAUCGAUUUAAACCCGUCAAUUCUAGGAUUUUCCAGCUUGUAUUAAAAAUUGAAUCACAUCAUACACAUAAAAAAAUCUAAUAUGUUAUUAAUUAUUGUUGUAUAUAAGAUUAUAAAUUCUUAAA